rnacentral:rRNA from 1 species
UACGUAGGGAGCAAGCGUUAUCCGGAAUUAUUGGGUGUAAAGGGUGCGUAGACGGGAGUCUAAGUUAGUUGUGAAAUCCCUCGGCUCAACUGAGGAACUGCAACUAAAACUGGACAUCUUGAGUGCAGGAGAGGAAAGUGGAAUUCCUAGUGUAGCGGUGAAAUGCGUAGAUAUUAGGAGGAACACCAGUGGCGAAGGCGACUUUCUGGACUGUAACUGACGUUGAGGCACGAAAGUAUGGGGAGCAAACAGG